UACGUAGGGGGCGAGCGUUAUCCGGAUUUAUUGGGCGUAAAGCGUGUGUAGGCGGUUUGUUAAGUUUAAGAUUAAAGCCCGAGGCUCAACCUCGGUUCGUCUUAAAAACUGGCAGACUUGAGUGCAGUAGAGGCAAGUGGAAUUUCUAGUGUAGCGGUUAAAUGCGUAGAUAUUAGAAGGAACACCAGUGGCGAAGGCGGCUUGCUGGGCUGUUACUGACGCUGAGACACGAAAGCGUGGGGAGCAAAUAGG
rnacentral:rRNA from 1 species